GUUUGGAUUUCUUUUGUAAUUUUUACAUUUCUGACCAGAUAGAUACAUAUCGAGUUCUACGGUUCGGGUUCGGGUUCACUUUGGAUUUUGGAUUACAGAUUUUAUGUCCAUGUCUAAUUUCUUAUGCAGGGCUUGCUACCCACAAAAUCACUUAUUGGUUAUUUUUCUACAAUGGAUGAAAAGAUUAAAAUUUACGUUUUUUUGGAAUUUGACAAUUCGUAAAAACAUUCAUUUUCUUGAAAAUUGUAGAACAAACAUUUUGCUGUUCUAUAACGUAACACAGAACAGCAUUAAAUUUGGAAUGUUUCCAAAGCUACAAGAAAAAAGGAUGCCAUCUCUAACGAAAACAAAAGGUAUUCUUCAUGAAAAAUACCAUCUCUAAGUUAUAUAAGGUCGCAAAAAUAUUUGUAUGAAUAUGAAGUUUAGGAUCCAAUAUAACGAUAAGCAGCUUGCAUUUUAUUGAAUAUAUUAAUGGACUGUUAGAAAAACGUCAACAAUUUUUUUUAAAGAAAAACUUCACCAAAAGUCAAAAACUAAGUAGAAAAUACAGAAGACAAACAAGGUAUAUGAUAUAUGUAAUUUUUGUUACUGUUAACUGCGGUGUGGAACGGAGGGGUUCGUAACAUUCGAAGCCUAAUGUUUUAGAGUAUAAGUAGUACAGCUUUGCUGCAUACAAAAGCUAGGUUCCGAAUGGUGACUGCGGUUUGAGCGGUGCGGGACAAGCGGUUUAACUGGGAUGCAGUUUUAACAGUUAUAAAAACGUAUAGAUAUAAAAUAUAUGUAGAGAUUUUUGUUACUGUUAAUUGCGGUGUGGAACAGAGCGGUUGUAAACAUUCGAAGCCUAAGAUUCUUGUUCGUAACUAGUACUCACAAGUCAACAAAGUAUCAAUAAAUAAUCAUCAAAACAUGUCAGUUGUAAUAUUUAAUUAUGAUUUAUGAAAAAAAAUCAGGCGUAGAAAAUACAGAAGACAAACAAACAAGAAAGUAAAACGGAUUCCUUGACUUAUGUGCUAUAUAUAGAAGUAAAACAGAUUCCCUGACCUAUGUGCUAUAUAGUCAUCUUAUAACAUCUUAGAACGGCCAUGCGUUCAAUCAUGAUUAAUACUUCCUAUGUUUCAGUUUAGUCUAAAACCACCAAUAUUAAAAAAAAUGUUACAUUUCUAAAAGUAAUAUUCAAUCAACAAAUUCAACCAAUUAUAAAAAAUCUAACAUCCAAUAAUUAAAAAUUACACUGAAAACUAACUUAUAUUUUGACAAAAAAAUUGUCUAAAAACUAGCCGUAUGCUUUGGAAGAAGCUUGUACAGUUUGGGAAGGGGUUUUGAUUGAUCAAAAAGAAAAAUCUAUUUCAACCGAUAUGCCCUUAGGCACGGCCAUACAUAAUAUAGAAAUCACACUUGGAAAGGGUGAACAAUUAGCUAGAGCAGCGGGUGCUGUAGCGAAACUGAUUGCAAAAGAGGGAAAAUCGGCCACAUUAAAAUUACCUUCUGGAGAGAUCCGUUUGAUAUCCAAAAACUGCUAUAUAAUAUGAAACAAAAAUACAAAGAAAUAAAAGAAUUAAUUAUAUGAAAAAAUGAAAACAAAAGAAAAUGAGAUUAUUAAGGAAGUUGCGUUUUGUUGAGAAUCAGAUAAAAUUUCUAGUAUUUUCCAGUCACGUUUACUGUAUAUAUAAUAUUUUUACUUCUGUCUUGUCCAUGCAUGUUCACAAAUUUGUCUUUGCUUAUUAAUGUCAAACGUCAUUCUCCAUGAUAAAAACAAAAUCUGUUCUUUUCAAAAAAAAUCUUGUUAGAUAUUGUUGUGUGUAAUAUUUUGCAAUAAUCUUCACACAUAUCAAGUUCCAGGCAUGGGACUACACUAGCAAAAUAUGUGAAACUGUGAUAUAUUUAUUCACUAUAGAAAAUAAUGCUAAUUAUCCACUUUAAAACUGUGAUUCCUAAUCGCUUUAUUCGUAAACCCUAACGGCAAUUUGGGUUUUUACUGAUGGAUUUCUCCAACGGUUCUAGCGAUGGAAUACUAGAAGAUUAAUGCGUCUACAAUUAUUAUAUGGGAUGCAUGUAUACUGUUGGAUCAAGUUCUCGGAUAAUUCAUUAUGCUAGAUUGUCUUUAAUAAAAUAUAUUUAAUUAUCAUAAUAAAUAUAUGUAAUUUUUAAUUUUUAAUAACUUUUAAUCAAUAGAUUCAAUAAAGUCAAUUUUUUUUUGAAGUUUACAAUUUUUCAAAAAAAGAAAAAAAACACAUUUUUCUAAAACAUUUUUUUCUUCUAAAAAAACUAUCUUAAUGAAAUGAAGAGAGUAUAAUAUAAUUUUGAGUGAUGAUGUGUGAUAGCUGAUAGAAAAAGUCAGCAUGGUUUAUUAUUGAUGUUGUUAUGAUAAUAAUUUAAGGAUUCAAAUGAAUUGAAUCUCCAUAAUUAACACAAAAAAGUAUAAACAUGUGUCGGUUUACUAAACCUCAAGCUAUUAAAUUAGUUUUGAGAGUGGAAGUGAACCAAACAUUUGUGAAAAAGUGAAGAAAGAGAGGACAAGAAGAAGAAGACAAUGUGAGCACUAAUUACUUGUUCUGCUUGAACACCCCACACAGUCUUCCUAGAAUAUUCAGUUUUAUCAGUAUUUAAUCAAAAUACUAUAUUGUUAGCAAAACAUAUUUUUUUUGUUAAAAAGCAUCUUUGAAAAUUAUUAUGUAUCAAAUAAAUUAAAAAUAUUUUCCAUAUUUAUAAUGGGGAAACAUGUUUUAUGUCGUGUAAUAUAUUACACAUGUAAUAUUCAUAAAUCAAAGUAGUAAGUUGUAUUUUCCAAGCUCAAAAUUUAUAAUUUUUACAAAAUACGUGUUUUGCUACUUUGUAUUAGGUGACUUUCUUGAUUUGUGUUUUUAUUAUUCAAACAAAAAGAUGAAUUAUAUAUAAAAAUAUGGCGACAAAAAGAAAUGAGAAAACAAACUUAAAGCAAUAACCCAAAACACAUACAAUAUGGCCCAGUCAAGAUUGGUCACUAAAAUCCAUUAGUACACUUACUAUUCCCUGAAAAGGGUCUCCACCACGAAACUUGUUCGAAAAAAAAACGGAAAAAAACUGUCAGAUUUAUUUUGUUUCUUCGUUGGUGUCUCUUUGUUAUCCCGACUUCUUCGAGGUUCAUAGCGACCGAAACCUUAACGAAAUCAAGAAAAGAAGAAGUUGUUUUCUGUUUAUGAAAACAGUUCAUUCUAUUCGCAAAGUCAAUCUAUCUACUAUUUAUUAGCUCAGCCAUCACCUGAGAAUCUUUCAAGACACACAAUCCAAAAGUAGUCUUUCUAGACAUUGGAAUGAGUUUUUUAGUCUGGGCAAAUUUGUUGUGAAGAUUAUUGAAUCACCCAGUAGCUCCCCGAGAUAGUUGGAGGUUCCCUUCAGACAUGCUCGGAUGCCUCUUCAAGUAACCGCUACUUAUACAUUGAGUUCACUAAAUAAUAUGUUUGCCUGUGACAGAUCGAAUUGUUUUUUAUGUUUGUCUUCAGGACUCAAUUGUUGUCACUGCCGUAUUUGAAGAAACCUUCAAUUGUUGUCACUGCCGUAUUUUAUGUUUGUCUUCAGGACUCAAUCAUAUCACCCUAUUAAAGAGAAAUAUGAUAUAGUAAGAAACCUUAAGCUCAAUAUGAGAGAAUAACGUAAGUUUGUAAGCAAUAUAAGAAUUCAUAUAAACUUACUCUAGAAUCCAUCCGCAGCUGAAUACUGCUUCCACAGCUGGAUGAUCUUAACCUUGACCUUCCACAUAGACAUGAAAGGCCUCAAAUCAGAGAUAUUAUUCAUCGUCGCUUUUUUGUUUUGUUUUUGAGUUAUGUUGCUCUGGUUUGGUGAAUGAAGAAAUGACUGACAUCAUACGCGGUUUAUAUAGGAUGGAAAACAUGCAAUCAAAGAGAAUAUAUGCGAAAUCUAAGAUAAUAAAUGGAAUAAAGUUAGCUUGUCAAUCAAGUAUAACUCGUCCCAUAAUACAUUCCCCGAUUACCAUAUAUUUUUCAUUGAUUUCAUAUUCUCUUAAAAUUUAGUAUUGACUUUGCGGAUUGAUCAGAAAUGUUUACCAUAUAUAAGAGUAUUGUGGUUUAUAAAUAAAAAUAUAGUGAAGAAUAUAUAUACACUUACCUAAAUUAAGAAGGCCACAUCGUUCGUAUUUAACAUGCAUUCAAUUUAAGGCAAUUAAAAGAGUAAAGUUAGCCUGUCAAUCACUUAGAGCUCGUCCCAUAAUAUAUUCUCUGUUUACCAUAGAUAGGUCAUUGAUACAAUAUUAUCUAUAAAUUUAUUAGUGACUUGAGAAACAAACAUAAACGUUACCAUAUAUAAGAGAUAUUAUGGGUUAGAACUAAUCAAUUUAGUGAAGAAUAUACACUUACCUAAACGUUUACCUUCGUAUUAAAGAGACAUACUUAAGUUAGUUAUUAGGCUAGAUACAUCCCUUUAUUAUAUUAAUUGCAUGAACCGGCAUACAAUUGUUUUGCAAAUCCAAAGAAAGUGGUUUAAAUUUUACAAAUCUCGGUUUAAGGUUUAAACUUAAAAAAUUGAUAUGAACUUUAUUAAGCUAGAUAUUCUCCUUUCAUAGAAAAACUUUGACAUAGUUAAAAAGUUGUGUGAAUAUGAGAAAGAACAAUGAAUCUACUUUUUUGUCAAAUGUAUCUAAAAUUGCGAAGUCAUCGUUCUUUCUAAGUAGUUUUGUCUAUUUGAUUGUUUAUCAACAAAAUAUAUAAUAUGGCCGUCAUGGAUGCUAAAUCGUGCAGGUUGAAAGAAAAAAAACUUAUAUGGCACUCUAUUAGGCUAGAUACAUUAAAAUCCAAAGAAAGUUAUGUUGUUAAAAAGUGAUGUUAAUAUGA